rnacentral:rRNA from 1 species
GAUGAACGCUAGCUACAGGCUUAACACAUGCAAGUCGAGGGGAAACGAUAUUGGAAGCUUGCUUCCGAUAGGCGUCGACCGGCGCACGGGUGAGUAACGCGUAUCCAACCUGCCCAUCACUUGGGGAUAACCUUGCGAAAGUAAGACUAAUACCCAAUGACGUCUCUAGAAGACAUCUGAAGGAGAUUAAAGAUUUAUCGGUGAUGGAUGGGGAUGCGUCUGAUUAGCUUGUUGGCGGGGUAACGGCCCACCAAGGCGACGAUCAGUAGGGGUUCUGAGAGGAAGGUCCCCCACAUUGGAACUGAGACACGGUCCAAACUCCUACGGGAGGCAGCAGCGAGGAAUAUUGGUCAAUGGACGAGAGUCUGAACCAGCCAAGUAGCGUGCAGGAUGACGGCCCUAUGGGUUGUAAACUGCUUUUAUAAGGGAAUAAAGUGAGUCUCGUGAGACUUUUUGCAUGUACCUUAUGAAUAAGGACCGGNUAAUUCCGUGCCAGCAG